UGAUUGUGACUUGAUUGUGAUUUUUACUUCAUGAGUUGUUGUUGUAGGUUGGAAUUUAUAAGCUUCACUUUGAGCUUAUUGUGGUCGGUAUUGGUUCUUAGCGUUCGUUGUAACUUGUGCUAAAGGAUCGUUCGAUUCUCUAUCAAAGAUUUUGGAAAUCAAAUUUCAUGAACAAACUUUAUGAAGGAUUGUGUAGAAUAUGUUUAAGUUGUUUAAGUUUGGGACUUUUUAGAGUAGGUUGUUAAAUUUAAUUUAUAUUAUUUUUUUACUUUUGUAAAACAAAUGUUUGUAAUAUCAUGACUUUUUAAAUGAAAUUAAAUUCGUUGUUGGUGA